UCCCCCUGUGGUUUUUAGUGGUUAAUUGACUUUUGCAUCUCAGUGUAAUCUUUCUGUGUUGUAUAUACAAACACAUACCAGUUGCAUCCUUUGUAGAAUUAUGUGGUUUGCGAAGUGUCUUGUUUGCCAUGUUUGAGACCGUAUUUUUUAGAGAAGUAUUCUAAUUUUGCCUUUUUUUUAAGAAAAGACACAAAAAUCAAAAUCGGCAUGCUUUUUAUUGAGAAUAUGUAUACUAUAAUCAUUAUUAUAAUAAAGAAUGUUUGGCUGACUACUGUGGUAAAAGAAAGCAAAGGGUUUGGACAUUUCCCCUUCUUGUUUAUGUUGUUCUUCUCCACUAUCUGUUUCUCUUGUGUAAAAUGACCACCAGACCCAUUUGACUGGGGACCCAGGGGGACUCAGGUGUAGAUGCUGGCCCAGCUUUGCUCUCUUUGGUCAGGGUAAGUGCGGGUUGGUGCUCCUUUCUCUCUCCAGCCUCUCAAACUGGGAGCAAACCAAAAUUUAUGAGAAAGGGUUUGCACCUGACCAAAUGCACUUAAGUAUUUAAUUAAAGCAAGAAAGGCUUGGUAUUGUCCUUUUAAAAUUGGUUUUCAUCCAGAAAGGACAUUAUACAAACUGUGGCAUCAUGUUGAGAGCUGGGGAGAGGCACACAGAUAGAAUGGCCUGGGUGCAUUUUGAUCUGUGGAGCAGUCCUGUCUCUCGGGGUUGAUGGGUGUGCGUCUGGUCUGGUCUGUCCCUGCUGCACCAAAUUCUCCCCCUCCGUGUGUCUCUGUGUCCACUCUACUCUCAGACCUGCAUGUGUGAUAAUCUGUAACUCUGCCGCAAAAAAGAGCCGCGACAGUCCAGCUCUGAACUAACUAUCUCAACUGAAUUAGGUCCCCGGGCCACCUGGAACGGCCAGCGUGCAGCCGUGCGUGAGCGUGGCGGCAUGAGCCAUGGGGACGACUUUUAGCGCGACGCCACCACAGUGGGAACUUGUUCUCUCUCUCCUCACCACCAAGAGGCCUGGGCGUGCCAAUGGACAGUGUAUGUGUGGUGGCCCGCUGCCGGACUCAGUAACAUGACACAGAGAGACUUCAAUGUUGGACAAGUCGCUUUGCUAAAACUGUUGAAUGCUGGGUUUGCUCCACAUGGCUGUGGAAGGGAUCUUAACUCCUGUUUCCCAAAAGAACUUAGUUGCAUUUCAUCUUUAGUGAUAAAUCAACCUCAAACAGUUUUCUUACCUUUGGGUCCCUCACAGCCUGUGUGCCAAUCAGAAACGUCCUAUAAGAUAGGCCUUAGGUAUGAGGCCAGUCUGACCUGUAGAUUCUCAGUCUCAGGGUUCCUAUAGGACUUUUCUGGUACGGCAGCUCUGUUCCCCUAAUGCUGAGAUCAGCUGGAGUGGCUGGAUAUGAGCUCUGAGUGACUUGUAUGUGUUCUUACAUGUUAAGAUUGUCCAUGUGGUGAGAUAGAGAGAUUUUACCCUCACAUACGAUAGGCUUUCAGUAUGUCAAAUGAGUUGUCCGACAUUUGCUCUGACAGCUGCAAGAUGGAUGCAAGAGGGUGUUGCCUACUGUCUGCCCAACAAACAAAGGAGAGGGAUGAAUAGAUGAGUUGAUUAUAAGGUGAGUUGGUAGUGGAAGGAUCCUCUGUAAAAAAGCUGCUCCCUAACCUCACCUUCCUGAUCUUGGAGGACCCUGUUGUUGAUUGCUAUAAUAGAUAUUCUGGCCAGAAUGGUAUUCUAAAAAGGGCCCCUGUUUACACUGGACAUUGUCCAUAGUGUGAUGAUAAUGAUCCUGAUAAUGCAGCUUUGACUCUGAGGUGUCCAUUUCUUGAUACACUUCAUCUUUGUUAUACUAAAAUGUAUUCCACCAAAUCGGAUUUUGCAUUAACAGACAUUGAAUGCUCCAAAGAGCUCUUUUCAUCACAAUCCCCCCAGAAAACAUUGCUUUAGAAUGAGCAGAUAUGGCCGACUCCCUUCCCGGCCUCCAUGAUCAGGGCGCGUGGUGCUCCAAUUUAUUUCCUCCAGCCACCUCUUCCUCCCCACUCUCCCAAAUCCUCACAAUUGGCUUCUCCGGGUGCUUGCGAGUCUGGGCUUCCCGUGCUUGGGUGAAUGCAGCCACGCAUCUCUUAAACCCCCUGCUCUGAAUUCACAGUCGCACUGUACUGACAGCCACAGCUCGCUGCAGCCUCCUCCCCUACUUCCACUUCCCCACCUACUCUCCCCCUGCCUUCUGUGGUUUUUGGACAGCUGAAGAACUAAAGAUGCUCUUUAUGCACACAUCUUUGUACUGUGUUGUUUUGUUAGGAUCCCACAGGUUACAUCUGUUCUCCUGCAGCAGGUAACAGCUGAGUUAUGUAAGUGUGUGCAUCUGGAACAAACUCCAGCUUGGUUUGAGCACAACCCAUAGACCAUAUUGCCUUUUGAGUUUGCAAGUUGAGAUUCAGUAGUUUUAAUCAAUGUGACCAUGACUAUUCUAGCUCUUCUAGCACAGAUGUGAAUUACAGAUAUUAGACUAUACUGCUGCUCAGAUGAAGACUAUAGCAGUACAGUCAUACCUCAGCCAUUACCUCAUCUACAGGGGAUUUACACAACAUAAACACUUGCAGAAUUUAAUGCAGUUCAAUACAGCAUCCCUGCAUUUAUUAAGAUGUAUGAUGUUUUAUUUCCGUUGAGAAUUGGUAUUAGAAUAAACAACUCUCAUUACAUUGUAA